GCCGAGGACCAUGGCGUGGACAGUGGUGGGUGACUGGGCUGUGUGUGGUUUGUGUCAACAGACCAGUGAGUGAAUUCACCAUGACAUGCGGCACAGAGGAUGUGGCAAUGGGGGAAUGUCCAUUAUAAUUCUGUGUUGGCGUGGCGUUGGCGUUGGCGUAGACGGUGACACGGACAGGAAAUGAAUUACCGUGGGACUCCCAUGGAUCAACCACUACCAGGCCAGGCUAAGGCCUACCCCCAGCCCAGACAGCAAGGCCGCACACACAGCAGCAGCACCCCUGGUGGUCUUCCCAGGAGCCCGGCCCUGGGAAGACCCUGACACAGGCUUUGAGGAGACCUUUUGACAUUGCCACAGACACGGAUUUAGAAUGGUCCACCGCAAAAAAAAAGAAGAUUUCACACCAAGUU
ensembl:lncRNA